UGCCAGACUCCUACGGGAGGCAGCAGUGGGGAAUAUUGCACAAUGGGGGAAACCCUGAUGCAGCAACGCCGCGUGAGUGAAGAAGCGUUUCGGCGCGUAAAGCUCUGUCAGCGGGGAAGAAAGAAGACGGUACCCGACCAAGAAGCCCCGGCUAACUACGUGCCAGCAGCCGCGGUAAUACGUAGGGGGCGAGCGUUAUCCGGAAUUACUGGGUGUAAAGGGAGCGUAGACGGCGAAGUAAGCCUGAAGUGGAAGCCCGCGGCCCAACCGCGGAACUGCUUUGGGAACUGUUUAGCUGGAGUAUGGGAGGGGUAAGCGGAAUUCCUGGUGUAGCGGUGAAAUGCGUAGAUAUCAGGAGGAACACCGGUGGCGAAGGCGAUUAACUGGACCGUAACUGACGCUGAGGCACGAAAGUGUGGGUAGCAAACAGGAUUAGAUACCCCUGUA
rnacentral:rRNA from 1 species